UGCAGUAGAAGGAGCUGAAUCUGAGAUAUGGCUGGCUUUGGGUGUCUUAUUGGGAGGUUUCUUUUUGAUUCCUCGACAUCUGAAAUCUGCUCAAAGACAAAAGAUGCACUCGAGUGCUAGCAAAAAGAAGGUGCGUGUAAUAGUAGGAACUUCAAAGCAAGCCUAAAAGAGUUUAUGAUUUUAAUAUUUCAGUGUUUCAAUUGCAUUGCAUUCUCGAGUUCGCAAUUUGCUUGCAGGGGAACCCACAACCUGUCAGACUGAAAGAUUCUGCGCUCUGAAACUCUCAAAGAUUUUUAUGUUUUAGAAUUUAUUUAAUCAUCCAUCUUAUAAGGAUAAGGGAUUUAGCCCUUUCUUUAUUUAAUUGAAAGUUAAUAAACCAUGCAAGUGGUGGCAUUGUCUCAGACAAAAAAUGAAGUUGCAUUUCAAAUUCUGGAUGUGUGCAUGCUAUUAGAGCUUGACCCAUGCUUCCUUUUUGCUCAAAGCUCUCUUUGUUUGCGCUAAAAACAUUCGUGAGGAUCUAACUUCUUAAUCAUAGACUAGAUCUAACUUCUUAAUCAUAGACUAGAUCUAACUUCUUAAUCAUAGACUA
rnacentral:misc_RNA from 1 species